rnacentral:rRNA from 1 species
GAUAAACGCUGGCGGCGUGCAUGAGACAUGCAAGUCGAACGAAGGAUCGGGCUUGCUCGAUCCUUAGUGGCGGACGGCUGAGUAACGCGUAGGUGACCUACCCCGAAGUGGGGAAUAACUGCCCGAAAGGGUGGCUAAUACCGCAUGUGGUCGCACGUUCAUUCGUGCGAGUAAAGCCGCAAGGCGCUUCGGGCGGGGCCUGCGUCCGAUUAGCUCGUUGGUGGGGUAAUGGCUUACCAAGGCGACGAUCGGUAGGUGGUCUGAGAGGACGAUCACCCAGACUGGGACUGAGACACGGCCCAGACUCCUACGGGAGGCAGCAGUCGGGAAUUUUGCUCAAUGGGGGAAACCCUGAAGCAGCAACGCCGCGUGAGGGAUGAAGGCCUUCGGGUUGUAAACCUCUUUUGUCAGGGACGAUGAUGACGGUACCUGGCGAAUAAGCCACGGCUAACUACGUG